UGCCAUCUUGUAGGUAGGGACAUGAUCCCAU
rnacentral:sRNA from 1 species